rnacentral:rRNA from 1 species
UACGGGGGGGGCAAGCGUUGUUCGGAAUUAUUGGGCGUAAAGGGCUCGUAGGCGGCCAACUAAGUCAGACGUGAAAUCCCCAGGCUCAACCUGGGAACUGCGUCUGAUACUGGAUGGCUUGAAUCCGGGAGAGGGAUGCAGAAUUCCAGGUGUAGCGGUGAAAUGCGUAGAUAUCUGGAGGAAUACCGGUGGCGAAGGCGACAUCCUGGACCGGCAUUGACGCUGAGGAGCGAAAGCUAGGGGAGCAAACAGG